rnacentral:ncRNA from 2 species
CAGAUCAGAAGGUGACUGUGGCU